rnacentral:ncRNA from 1 species
UUAAAUUCUAGGAACAAAAAGAGUACUUAUAAUUAAGUGCCUCAGCGAGCUGGCGAUUGGUGAAAGGUCCAGUACAGGAGAUUAUAAGGAAUGGGUUUGGGAGAUGCCUGGUGAACUAAGAGUAGUCAGAGUCGUAAGUUCUACGUUAUAGGAACAGGAUAUCGCAUCAUAAAUGCCGUAUCUGUUAAAGUGAUAUCUUUCUAGGGGAGUAACCUUUCAAAGAUAUAAUUUGGGUGGCACCACGAGUUCUAUCGUCCCAUGG